ACAGACCACCUACUGCCAGACCUCAACGCCUCACAAAACUCUCACCCACCUACUGCUUUUAGCUCACAUUCCAGGAAUUCAGAUGAAGUGAAGUGCUCUCAUGGGGACCAGGCAUGGUUAUGCCAGUCCACUGCCCUGCAAGCCUCAAGGGAAGCCAACUGCCCUUCAGCAAGUCACACCUGCCUUGGUGGAGGCCUUGAUUGGAAGUGCCACACGCUACAUGUCCAGUCCUGAGCGGGAGAAUCGGUGUAGGGACGUUCUGGGGAUGCCAGCUGUGGCCAGAUCAGGUCCAACUACAGAAGAAUAAUGAAGACUCCACCUGAGGGCUGGAAAAACAAAACCUCAAGUGUGAGGCAGCCAACCUGUUACCUCGAGGGACUGUUCCGCAGCACAGCGGGGCCAUGGGAACAGCAGCAGACACCCCGACCUCCUCGCUACCUGUGUGUGUAUUAACACGCCGGCCUCCUCGCUACCUGUGUGUGUAUUAACACGCCGGCCUCCUCGCUCCCUGUAUCAACUAUGGCCUGAGUAUGAUAGACUUAUCCAUGGUUUAAACAGAAUAUAUUGUUUUCAACUUUGAAAAUAAGAAUAUGGAAAUCCAGAUGCAGAAAUGUGAGAAGAAAAGAGAGUAAACAGAGUGGAAGGUCAGGUGACCUUGCCUGUCAUGAAUAUGAAGGUCAAGGUGUGUGAAUUGUGAAAUUUCCAAGAGAACCUCACUGAAGCAAAGAAUGAAGAAAGAAUUGCAUUUGGCCCUGGGAGGGUGCAGGGGUGAAUGGUGCAGGAGCUAAAUCUUUAUCAUACCCAGAAAUCAACAGCCACUAUUUGAAAUCAUCUAAAUUCGUGCUGCUAACCUUCAGUGUACACACGAAUCACCUGGGGAUCUUACUAAAAGCUAGUUUCUGAUUCACUAAA
rnacentral:lncRNA from 10 species